UACGAAGGGGGCUAGCGUUGCUCGGAAUCACUGGGCGUAAAGCGCACGUAGGCGGAUCUUUAAGUCAGGGGUGAAAUCCUGGAGCUCAACUCCAGAACUGCCUUUGAUACUGGGGAUCUCGAGUCCGGGAGAGGUGAGUGGAACUGCGAGUGUAGAGGUGAAAUUCGUAGAUAUUCGCAAGAACACCAGUGGCGAAGGCGGCACACUGGCCCGGUACUGACGCUGAGGUGCGAAAGCGUGGGGAGCAAACAGG
rnacentral:rRNA from 1 species